rnacentral:rRNA from 1 species
UACGUAGGGUGCGAGCGUUGUCCGGAAUUAUUGGGCGUAAAGAGCUUGUAGGUGGUUUGUCGCGUCUGCUGUGAAAAUCCGAGGCUCAACCUCGGACUUGCAGUGGGUACGGGCAGACUAGAGUGUGGUAGGGGAGACUGGAAUUCCUGGCGUAGCGGUGGAAUGCGCAGAUAUCAGGAGGAACACCGAUGGCGAAGGCAGGUCUCUGGGACGGUACUGACACUGAGACGCGAAAGCGUGGGGAGCGAACAGG